rnacentral:rRNA from 1 species
UUGGAGGGCAAGUCUGGUGCCAGCAGCCGCGGUAAUUCCAGCUCCAAUAGCGUAUAUUAAAGUUGUUGCAGUUAAAAAGCUCGUAGUUGAAUUUUGGAAUCAAUAUGCCGGUCAUGCCUUGGUAUGCACUGGUAUCUUUGAUUUCUCCCUUCUGACGAACUUUGAUGUCAUUAAUUUGGUGUCAUAGGGAAUCAGGACUGUUACUUUGAAAAAAUUAGAGUGUUUAAAGCGAGCUCACGCUUGAAUACAUUAGCAUGGAAUAAUGAAAUAGGACGUUUGAUUCUAUUUUGUUGGUUUCUAGGAUCGACGUAAUGAUUAAUAGGGAUAGUUGGGGGCAUUAGUAUUCAAUUGUCAGAGGUGAAAUUCUUGGAUUUAUUGAAGACUAACUACUGCGAAAGCAUUUGCCAAGGAUGUUUUCAUUAAUCAAGAACGAAAGUUAGGGGAUCGAAGACGAUCAGAUACCGUCGUAGUCUUAACCAUAAACUAUGCCGACUAGGGAUCGGAUGAUGUUAAUUUUUUAAUGACUCAUUCGGCGCCUUACGGGAAAC